rnacentral:tRNA from 1 species
UAGAAAGUAGUAUAACGGCAAUACAUAGAACUUUGAUUUCUUAACUACAAGUUCAAUUCUUGUCUUUCUAA